UCCUCAGCUCUGUUGCUGAUUCUUCUUCCGGGAAACAAAGUGGUGGGUAGUCAAAAGAUCUCUUCCCACUGCUGUCAGUGUUGGGGCUGAGAUACUGUUUAGUGCUGUGGAGCCCUGGCCCAGGUCCCACCCGUCCCAGGCCCCUGCCUCGAGGGAGUUUAGUGUGAGACAAAUGAGAGACCAACUCCAUGUAGCAAAGAGUGGACGGCCUGGGAAAAACAUGUAAACACUCCUGUAAGAGGGAGGAGUUUGAACGCCUAGGCAGGAAGCAUAAGAGGCAGCCUGGGAUGUGCUGGGCACAGCAAUCCGGGCUGCUGCUGUCACUAGCCGGUGGGGGCAUCAGCAGGGCUCAACAGGCGAUGGACAGGAAGUAGUUUGAGAAUACUGUGGAACAUGAGAACACAGCACGGCCCGAACCAAGUGCAGCGUUCUGUCGGAGAGACAGCACAUGUCUACACAGCCGCCCCGGAGCCGGAGUCAGAGGCGGCUGGUGGGUGCCUGAUGUGUGUGUUGGGAUCUGAACUCCGGUUCUCUGCAACAGCAGUUGACGCUCUGAAUUUCUCCAGGCCCUAAACGUACUAUCAAGAAACACGAAUGCACGGAUUCUUCACAGCCACCGCAGUCUGGGUACUACAGUUUGAAAUUCUGAGUCCUUGAGAAUUAAACCACCCCACUUUACUUUGCUGACAAGAGACUAAGCCGAUCUCUAGUACCAGGAGAAUCUUCUGCCUUGAGUUUCACUCCUGAGAGGGGCCGCCUUUUCACACCCCAGACAGACCUGUGCGUCCAACCCAUCAGUUGACUAGCAGCAGAAAACUCCAAAGGAGGGGGCUCACACAGCACAGCGGCGUGGACAUCCAUCCCCGCCAUCCCAGCACUCCGGAGGCAGGCAGAGACUCCGACGCUUGUCUUUUCCUGAUGCUCAUCACUCAUUUGCCGGAGGAAACACCACUCGGUCUCCAUGUGCCUGCUGACAUGCCGUCACAUCCUUCUGUGCACUGACUUUAGUUAUUUCUUAUAGUAAGAUUCAUCUAUCGGGAAGGCACGCAAAGACACGCACAAAGUAUCUGUUUAAUUCUUGUAGCUCCCACAACACCUCAUGAGACCCCAGACAUAGAGUAAAUGCUUGGUGAGUGUCUACAGACCAUACAAAAGAAACGAGGUAGUUCUGUGAUUAGGGACAACACAGAUGAAACCCAGCACAGUAAUGUUAAGUGGAAUAAGCCAUCACGGAAAGACAAACUCUGCAUGGCCUCACUCACAGGUGGAGUAGAACAAACUUGACCUCACAGAAGCCGAGAGCAGGAUGGUGGUUACGGGGCUUAGGGAAGUAGGGAGGAGGUAAGGGGCCGGCUCGGUGACAGCAAAGCAAGGAGCUGUGUGUGCACGGCAGGAUCAUGACAGACAAGUCACUGUCAAUUUUAAAAAGCAACAAGAGGGGCUGGAGAAACGGUUCAGUCACCAAGAGCACUGGCUGCUCUUACAGAGGAUCUGGGCUUGGUUGUUUCCAGACUCACAAAGAGGCUUUAGCUCCAGGUGAUCUGAUGCCCUCUACUGGCCUCUGCUGGCACUGCACCCAAUUGGUGUAUACACACACACACA